ACUACUACAUCUGGAAAUUUCCACCUAUUACACCACAUAUUCAAAGCUAACUUUUUGUUUUUAAAUUCAAAAUUCUGUUGUAAGAGUAGCAACAUUCAUUAUGCAUAUUUUUUGAAUGCGUAAGAAAAAGAUGCACCUAGGGCUAUUAAAUUUUUUAUCAACGAUGGCCGGCAUUAUUUGGAAACAUUGUUUGAAAAGGUUCUUGAAUUUUAUGUUGUUUCUGAAGAACUGAUUAAAUAUAGUUGCAUAGGACGAAAGAAAAUUCUCAAUGUGCCGCUAGAGCUGGAAAUUUAGUGGGGUCAAUUGUGUCGCUAUCGUGAAGCGUUGCGUGUUAGCUUUCCCAAUGGGGUUCCAAGGUAAGUUGCCUCAUUUUCUGCUUGUUGGAAAGUUGGAAAGACCAAUUAGGUUGGAUUGCCUCGCAAUUUGCAGCGCAAGAUUUGGAAUGCGCGAGAGAUUUUCCACAUCAAUAAGCGCAUGUCCACUAUCGCGCAGAGUUUGGGUGAAUGUGCUACACAGGAAAUACUUGAUAUCUACAAGAAAUUAGGAACUUUUUUUACUGGUGGUGCGGCGCGGGACGCCGAUAUGAUGAAUUGAGGCCAUAAUGUCAUAAUCGGCAUUAUAAUAAUAUAUAAUUAUGAAUAAUUUAAUUUUAACGGGUCAAUAUUGUAUAUGCCUAUGUUGAAUAUACAUAUAUAUAAUUGAGGCCAUAAUGCCAUAUAUCGGCAUUAUAAUAGUA